CUCUACUAAAAAAAAUACAAAAAAUUAGCCGGGCGUGGUGGUGCAUGCCUGUAAUCCCAGCUACUCGGGAGGCUGAGGCAGGAGAAUUGCUUGAACCUGGGAGGCGGAGGUUGCAGUGAGCCGAGAUAGUGCCAUUGCACUCCAGCCUGGACAACAAGAGCGAAACUCCGUCUCGAAAAAAAAACAAAAAAAAAUCCCAGAUGAGCAAUUCUUCUUGUCUUCAAUAUGGUUAGACAAUAAAUUUGGGUUUUUUCAGUAGGUGCAUCCAAACAUUAUCAGUUGAUUGAAAACUAAUUGAUGUUAACUGAACUCAUGAAUGGCUGAAUUAUACCCAGAUUAAUAACGUAUUAAAAAAAGGGAUGUGCUUUUCUGGUGAACAAACAGCUCUGGCCCAUCUUCAAAAGUUAUUUGCUAUUGCUUUAUUUAUUUAGCAGCGGUAUGCUUUCUUCAAGCAACUGUGUUUUGUUUUGUUUUUAUGGACAACCAAUACAUAACAGAAAACAAAGCUGCUCUGAUUGAAGACAGACAACAGACCUGCCCAGCCUCAAGUUCCCCUUUCUUUCCCUUCCCCAAGAUGUUCCCUAAGAGGGCUCCUCAGAAUCCCCAA
rnacentral:lncRNA from 1 species